AAAUUGAAGAGUUUGAUCAUGGCUCAGAUUGAACGCUGGCGGCAGGCCUAACACAUGCAAGUCGAGCGGUAGCACAGAGAGCUUGCUCUCGGGUGACGAGCGGCGGACGGGUGAGUAAUGUCUGGGAAACUGCCUGAUGGAGGGGGAUAACUACUGGAAACGGUAGCUAAUACCGCAUAACGUCGCAAGACCAAAGUGGGGGACCUUCGGGCCUCAUGCCAUCAGAUGUGCCCAGAUGGGAUUAGCUAGUAGGUGGGGUAACGGCUCACCUAGGCGACGAUCCCUAGCUGGUCUGAGAGGAUGACCAGCCACACUGGAACUGAGACACGGUCCAGACUCCUACGGGAGGCAGCAGUGGGGAAUAUUGCACAAUGGGCGCAAGCCUGAUGCAGCCAUGCCGCGUGUGUGAAGAAGGCCUUCGGGUUGUAAAGCACUUUCAGCGGGGAGGAAGGCGUUAAGGUUAAUAACCUCAUCGAUUGACGUUACCCGCAGAAGAAGCACCGGCUAACUCCGUGCCAGCAGCCGCGGUAAUACGGAGGGUGCAAGCGUUAAUCGGAAUUACUGGGCGUAAAGCGCACGCAGGCGGUCUGUCAAGUCGGAUGUGAAAUCCCCGGGCUCAACCUGGGAACUGCAUUCGAAACUGGCAGGCUAGAGUCUUGUAGAGGGGGGUAGAAUUCCAGGUGUAGCGGUGAAAUGCGUAGAGAUCUGGAGGAAUACCGGUGGCGAAGGCGGCCCCCUGGACAAAGACUGACGCUCAGGUGCGAAAGCGUGGGGAGCAAACAGGAUUAGAUACCCUGGUAGUCCACGCCGUAAACGAUGUCGAUUUGGAGGUUGUGCCCUUGAGGCGUGGCUUCCGGAGCUAACGCGUUAAAUCGACCGCCUGGGGAGUACGGCCGCAAGGUUAAAACUCAAAUGAAUUGACGGGGGCCCGCACAAGCGGUGGAGCAUGUGGUUUAAUUCGAUGCAACGCGAAGAACCUUACCUGGUCUUGACAUCCACAGAACUUUCCAGAGAUGGAUUGGUGCCUUCGGGAACUGUGAGACAGGUGCUGCAUGGCUGUCGUCAGCUCGUGUUGUGAAAUGUUGGGUUAAGUCCCGCAACGAGCGCAACCCUUAUCCUUUGUUGCCAGCGGUUAGGCCGGGAACUCAAAGGAGACUGCCAGUGAUAAACUGGAGGAAGGUGGGGAUCAUGUCAAGCCAUCAUGCCCCUUACCACCAGGGCUACACACGUGCUACAAUGGCAUAUACAAAGAGAAGCGACCUCGCGAGAGCAAGCGGACCUCAUAAAGUAUGUCGUAGUCCGGAUUGGAGUCUGCAACUCGACUCCAUGAAGUCGGAAUCGCUAGUAAUCGUAGAUCAGAAUGCUACGGUGAAUACGUUCCCGGGCCUUGUACACACCGCCCGUCACACCAUGGGAGUGGGUUGCAAAAGAAGUAGGUAGCUUAACCUUCGGGAGGGCGCUUACCACUUUGUGAUUCAUGACUGGGGUGAAGUCGUAACAAGGUAACCGUAGGGGAACCUGCGGUUGGAUCACCUCCUUACCUUAAAGAA
rnacentral:rRNA from 1 species